UNUGACUUGAGUGCAGAAGGGGAGAGUGGAAUUCCAUGUGUAGCGGUGAAAUGCGUAGAUAUAUGGAGGAACACCAGUGGCGAAAGCGGCUCUCUGGUCUGUCACUGACGCUGAGGCUCGAAAGCGUGGGUAGCGAACAGGAUUAGAUACCCUGGUAGUNCACGCCGUAAACGAUGAGUGCUAGGUGUUAGGCCCUUUCCGGGGCUUAGUGCCGGAGCUAACGCAAUAAGCACUCCGCCUGGGGAGUACGACCGCAAGGUUGAAGCUCAAAGGAAUUGACGGGGGCCCGCACAAGCGGUGGAGCAUGUGGUUUAAUUCGAAGCAACGCGAAGAACCUUACCAGGUCUUGACAUCCCGAUGCUAUUCUUAGAGAUAGGAAGUUACUUCGGUACAUCGGAGACAGGUGGUGCAUGGUUGUCGUCAGCUCGUGUCGUGAGAUGUUGGGUUAAGUCCCGCAACGAGCGCAACCCUUAUUGUUAGUUGCCAUCAUUAAGUUGGGCACUCUAGCGAGACUGCCGGUAAUAAACCGGAGGAAGGUGGGGAUGACGUCAAAUCAUCAUGCCCCUUAUGACCUGGGCUACACACGUGCUACAAUGGUCGGUACAACGAGUUGCGAGCCGGUGACGGCAAGCUAAUCUCUGAAAGCCGAUCUCAGUUCGGAUUGGAGGCUGCAACUCGCCUCCAUGAAGUCGGAAUCGCUAGUAAUCGCGGAUCAGCACGCCGCGGUGAAUACGUUCCCGGGCCUUGUACACACCGCCCGUCACACCACGAGAGUUUGUAACACCCGAAGUCGGUGAGGUAACCUUUUA
rnacentral:rRNA from 1 species